AACGAUGGUGCUUGCACCAGGCGACGACCGGCGGACGGGUGAGUAACGCGUAUGCAACCUACCUAUUGCAGGAAGAUAGCCCGAGGAAACUCGGAUUAAUAUUCCAUAAUAUCAUUUUUACACAUGUAUUAAUGAUUAAAGCUACGGCGGCAAUAGAUGGGCAUGCGUACCAUUAGCUAGUUGGUGAGGUAACGGCUCACCAAGGUUACGAUGGUUAGGGGGUCUUAAAGGAUGAUCCCCCACACUGGUACUGAGACACGGACCAGACUCCUACGGGAGGCAGCAGUGAGGAAUAUUGGGCAAUGGACGCAAGUCUGACCCAGCCAUGCCGCGUGCAGGAUGACUGCUCUAGUAGUUGUAAACUGCUUUUCUAUUUCAUGAACCCCUCUGACGUGUCAGGGGCUGACAGUAGAAUAGGAAUAAGCAUCGGCUAACUCCGUGCCAGCAGCCGCGGUAAUACGGAGGAUGCAAGCGUUAUCCGGAUUUACUAGGUUUAAAGGGUGCGUAGGCGGGGUAUCAAGUCAGUGGUGAAAUCCUGCAGCUCAACUGUAGAACUGCCAUUGACACUGAUAUUCUUGAGUAUAGUCGAGGUAGGCGGAAUGUGUUCAGUAGCGGUGAAAUGCAUAGAGAUGACACAGAACACCGAUUGCGAAGGCAGCUUACUAAACUAUUACUGACGCUGAGGUACGAAAGCGUGGGGAGCGAACAGGAUUAGAUA
rnacentral:rRNA from 1 species